UGGGGAAUUUUGGACAAUGGGCGAAAGCCUGAUCCAGCAAUGCCGCGUGUGUGAAGAAGGCCUUCGGGUUGUAAAGCACUUUUGUCCGGAAAGAAAUCCUUGGCUCUAAUACAGUCGGGGGAUGACGGUACCGGAAGAAUAAGCACCGGCUAACUACGUGCCAGCAGCCGCGGUAAUACGUAGGGUGCAAGCGUUAAUCGGAAUUACUGGGCAUAAAGCGUGCGCAGGCGGUUUGCUAAGACCGAUGUGAAAUCCCCGGGCUCAACCUGGGAACUGCAUUGGUGACUGGCAGGCUAGAGUAUGGCAGAGGGGGGUAGAAUUCCACGUGUAGCAGUGAAAUGCGUAGAGAUGUGGAGGAAUACCGAUGGCGAAGGCAGCCCCCUGGGCCAAUACUGACGCUCAUGCACGAAAGCGUGGGGAGCAAACAGGAUUAGAUACCCUGGUAGUCCACGCCCUAAACGAUGUCAACUAGUUGUUGGGGAUUCAUUUCCUUAGUAACGUAGCUAACGCGUGAAGUUGACCGCCUGGGGAGUACGGUCGCAAGAUUAAACCUCAAAGGAAUUGACGGGGUCAUAGCUGUUUCCU
rnacentral:rRNA from 1 species